AGUGAACGCUGGCGGUAGGCCUAACACAUGCAAGUCGAACGGCAGCACAGUAAGAGCUUGCUCUUACGGGUGGCGAGUGGUGGACGGGUGAGGAAUACAUCGGAAUCUACUUUUUCGUGGGGGAUAACGUAGGGAAACUUACGCUAAUACCGCAUACGACCUACGGGUGAAAGCAGGGGAUCUUCGGACCUUGCGCGAUUGAAUGAGCCGAUGUCGGAUUAGCUAGUUGGCGGGGUAAAGGCCCACCAAGGCGACGAUCCGUAGCUGGUCUGAGAGGAUGAUCAGCCACACUGGAACUGAGACACGGUCCAGACUCCUACGGGAGGCAGCAGUGGGGAAUAUUGGGCAAAGGGCGCAAGCCUGAUCCAGCCAUACCGCGUGGGUGAAGAAGGCCUUCGGGUUGUAAAGCCCUUUUGUUGGGAAAGAAAAGCAGCAGGUUAAUACCCCGCUGUUCUGACGGUACCCAAAGAAUAAGCACCGGCUAACUUCGUG
rnacentral:rRNA from 1 species